GAACCACUCCGGUGGCCUAGUGGUAAAAACGUCCGCCUUGGAUGCGGGAAGUCGCGGGUUCGAAACCUGGCCAAUUCA